GCUUUCUGUUGUCGGAGCUUUUCUCCAAAUACAAUUGGGCCAAGUAAUUGGUCUAGAAUUGGCCCAAGAAAAAUUAGACUACUCAUUGUCAUCUUCAGUGAGAAUAUUAGCUGGGAUAGACUUCAUUAUCUGGAGAUCAAACAGACUAAUUCUUUGGAGAUUCAAGAGACACCUUAGUUUAUCCUUAGACAAGUUCUUUAAGUCUCUCUCUCUAGCAAGAGCUAUGGUUUUCAUUCUUCUCAAACCAUUAGCAGCAAGCCGUCUUUUUUAGUGUUUUUUAUAAUGCUUGUUUUUGCUUGCUUGGUUGUUUUUUU
rnacentral:misc_RNA from 1 species